AGUGAACGCUGGCGGCAGGCCUAACACAUGCAAGUCGAGCGGCAGCGGGUCCCCGCGAGGGGAGUGCCGGCGAGCGGCGGACGGGUGAGGAACACAUCGGAAUCUGCCUGGUUGUGGGGAUAACGUAGGGAAACUUACGCUAAUACCGCAUGCGACCCUGAGUCGACGGACUGGGGUGAAAGUGAGGGACCUUCGGGCCUCACGCGACCAGAUGAGCCGAUGUCGGAUUAGCUAGUUGGCGGGGUAACGGCCGCCAAGGCGACGAUCCGUAGCUGGUCUGAGAGGAUGAUCAGCCACACUGGGACUGAGACACGGCCCAGACUCCUACGGGAGGCAGCAGUGGGAAUUUUUCGCAAU
rnacentral:rRNA from 1 species